rnacentral:tRNA from 1 species
CUGUCGCUAGGUCUGCUGUGUUGAUCCCAAGUCCAAAUGACUGUUAAUCAUUGGGUCGCAGGUUCGAGUCCUGCUCGGGGAGCCA